rnacentral:tRNA from 1 species
CGGGGCGUAGCACAGUCUGGCUAGUGCGCUCGGUUUGGGACCGAGAGGUCGUAGGUUCGAAUCCUAUCGCCCCGA